UGCCCCGAAGAACCGGGAUAACCCACCGAAAGGUGGGCUAAUACCGGAUACCUUACACGACGUCUCCUGGCGAUGUGAAGAAAUGGAUUCCGCUUUGGGAGGGUCUCGCGGCCUAUCAGCUUGUUGGUGAGGUAACGGCUCACCAAGGCGACGACGGGUAGCUGUUCUGAGAGGAAGAUCAGCCACACUGGGACUGAGACACGGCCCAGACUCCUACGGGAGGCAGCAGUGGGGAAUCUUGCGCAAUGGGCGAAAGCCUGACGCAGCGAUGCCGCGUGCGGGAAGACGGCCUUAGGGUUGUAAACCGCUUUCAGCAGGGACGAAAUUGACGGUACCUGCAGAAGAAGCUCCGGCCAACUACGUGCCAGCAGCCGCGGUAAGACGUAGGGGGCGAGCGUUGUCCGGAAUUAUUGGGCGUAGAGGGCUCCUAGGUUGUUCAGUAAGUCGACUGUGAAAAUCCAAGGCUCAACCUUGGGACGCCAGUCGAUACUGCUGUGACUCGAGUUCGGUAGAGGAGUGUGGAAUUCCUGGUGUAGCGGUGAAAUGCGCAGAUAUCAUGAGGAACACCAACGGCGAAAGCAGCACUCUGGGCCGAUACUG
rnacentral:rRNA from 1 species